rnacentral:rRNA from 1 species
AGGGAUAAGUGCUGAAAGCAUCUAAGCAUGAAGCCCCCCUCAAGAUGAGAUUUCCCAUAGCGUAAGCUAGUAAGAUCCCUGAAAGAUGAUCAGGUUGAUAGGUUCGAGGUGGAAGCAUGGUGACAUGUGGAGCUGACGAAUACUAAUAGAUCGAGGACUUAACCA